GGAAACUAUGGUCCAGGAGGCAGUGGAGGAAGUGGGGGUUAUGGUGGGAGGAGCCGAUACUGAGCUUCUUCCUAUUUGCCAUGGGCUUCACUGUAUAAAUAGGAGAGGAUGAGAGCCCAGAGGUAACAGAACAGCUUCAGGUUAUCGAAAUAACAAUGUUAAGGAAACUCUUAUCUCAGUCAUGCAUAAAUAUGCAGUGAUAUGGCAGAAGACACCAGAGCAGAUGCAGAGAGCCAUUUUGUGAAUGGAUUGGAUUAUUUAAUAACAUUACCUUACUGUGGAGGAAGGAUUGUAAAAAAAAAUGCCUUUGAGACAGUUUCUUAGCUUUUUAAUUGUUGUUUCUUUCUAGUGGUCUUUGUAAGAGUGUAGAAGCAUUCCUUCUUUGAUAAUGUUAAAUUUGUAAGUUUCAGGUGACAUGUGAAACCUUUUUUAAGAUUUUUCUCAAAGUUUUGAAAAGCUAUUAGCCAGGAUCAUGGUGUAAUAAGACAUAACGUUUUUCCUUUAAAAAAAUUUAAGUGCGUGUGUAGAGUUAAGAAGCUGUUGUACAUUUAUGAUUUAAUAAAAUAAUUCU
rnacentral:lncRNA from 1 species